GGAAGGGUAGCGAAGUGGCUAAACGCGGUAGACUGUAAAUCUACUCCCAACGGGUUCGUGAGUUCGAAUCUCACCCCUUCCACCA
rnacentral:tRNA from 1 species